ACGGCGCAGGCGCACGUCCCACGACAGCCGACUGGAGCUCCUUUGUGGUGGCCGCGGUCCUUUUGUGGAGGCGGUGUGGCUCGGCCGCGCGUCCGUCCGGCGGUGGGUCGGUCUGCCAUUGCGCCCCGGGCCUGUGUGCCGCCCACGGCACCCCCGGCUCCGAGAGGCCGAGCCCGAGGCCUGUCCGGCUCGCGCGGGCCCAGGAGGCGUGGGUGACGGGCCGGUGGGGCGCGCAGGAUGGGGCGGGGGCGCCUGUGGAGCCCGCCCGACCCCGAGCUGGGGCGCCGACCGGCCUCACGGGGCUGCCCAGAGGUGUCCUGAGCGCCAGGAGCGGGCCCCACCCCGUGGCGGCCGCCGAGGAAGGCGCCAUGGAGACCCCGGCCCCGGAGCCCCGGGAGACAGCUCUCCCCUCUCAGGACCCUGCUCUUUCCCGCCAAGAGAUUCCAGAAGAUAAAAUGGGUCAGGGUCUCCUGGAAGCCAGGUGCGAGGUGAGUGGCUGUCUUUUCUUCCUUUGAACUUCUGGUUUUUUACGAAGAGGGUUAGCACCAUCCUUCCGCUGCCCAGGAUGUCAGUCAUCCAAGGACCCCCUGCCUGGGCGCCUGCUCUCAGUCCUCAGUAGGCUCUGGGCGUGGAAACAGCUCAGGGUGAAGGGACCCGGGUGACGCCCAGGUGUGCCCUGGAGAUGAUUGUCCCUUCCAGGCUGAUUCAGUCCAUCACUGGACUCGUUGCCCAGCACUCUGCCUGGAGCUCUGAGGAGUGGUUCUUGUGGCACCCAAGCAAGUAGGUGACAGCUCAUGUGAGAUCACUCAUAUCCAUGUGCAGACCCAGGGGAUGUCUGUGGUAGUUGGUCCUUGUUUGGAGAAGCUUUCUAGGAUGGAACUAAGUAGAAGGGUGUGGAGCAGCUGAAGGAAGGGCUGCGUUGCAGCGCUGGUGUCAGAAUGACGGUAGGGGGUGCGUCCCUGUGUCCUUUUCCUCUGUACCAGGCCCCUAACAUGGGGCCUUCAGGGAAGAGCCUGCAGUUUUAGAGGAUCCAGGGGCUCAACAGGGAAUUGGCCUUAGGGCUGCUUCCACAGCUGAGUGAGGGGCAAACCCCUCCUUUUACAGACUUUGGGUUUUGCUCCCCGUUUUGUUCCACCAUCUAAACCACCCCCACCCGUCAAAUUUAGAAGGGUACGGUUGAUAAAGACCGUGUGGGUGGUGAAAGAUCUGGAGGGUUGAGG
rnacentral:lncRNA from 1 species